UGCAAGUCGAACGAACUUAACCAUUAGUUUACUAUUGGAGCGGUUAGUGGCGGACUGGUGAGUAACACGUAAGCAACCUGCCUAUCAGAGGGGAACAACAGUUAGAAAUGACUGCUAAUACCGCAUAUGCCUUAGAAUCACAUGGUUCAAAAGGGAAAGGAGCAAUCCGCUGAUAGAUGGGCUUGCGUCUGAUUAGCUAGUUGGUGGGGUAACGGCCUACCAAGGCGACGAUCAGUAGCCGAACUGAGAGGUUGAACGGCCACAUUGGGACUGAGAUACGGCCCAGACUCCUACGGGAGGCAGCAGUCGGGAAUAUUGCGCAAUGGAGGAGACUCUGACGCAGUGACGCCGCGUGCAGGAAGAAGGUUUUCGGAUUGUAAACUGCUUUAGACAGGGAAGAACAAAGACAGUACCUGUAGAAUAAGCUCCGGCUAACUACGUGCCAGCAGCCGCGGUAAUACGUAGGGAGCGAGCGUUAUCCGGAUUUAUUGGGUGUAAAGGGUGCGUAGACGGGAAGUCAAGUUAGUUGUGAAAUCCCUCGGCUUAACUGAGGAACUGCAACUAAAACUGAUUUUCUUGAGUACUGGAGAGGAAAGUGGAAUUCCUAGUGUAGCGGUGAAAUGCGUAGAUAUUAGGAGGAACACCGGUGGCGAAGGCGACUUUCUGGACAGAAACUGACGUUGAGGCACGAAAGUGU
rnacentral:rRNA from 1 species